GAUCAUGGUCAGGAUGAACGCUAGCUACAGGCUUAACACAUGCAAGUCGAGGGGAAACGGCGUUUAGUGCUUGCACUGAAUGGACGUCGACCGGCGCACGGGUGAGUAACGCGUAUCCAAUCUACCCAUUACUGUGGGAUAACCUGCCGAAAGGCAGACUAAUACCGCAUGGUCUUCGAUGACGGCAUCAGAUUUGAAGUAAAGAUUUAUCGGUAAUGGAUGGGGAUGCGU
rnacentral:rRNA from 1 species